GUUUUCUGUUCUUGCAUGGGC
rnacentral:piRNA from 1 species